CAAGGAUUCCCCUAGUAACGGCGAGUGAAGCGGGAAGAGCUCAAAUUUGAAAUCUUAAAGGGUUUCCCUUUACGAAUUGUAGUUUAAAGAAGUGUUUUCUGUUGAAAUUUUGGUAAAAGUUCUUUGGAAUAGGACAUCAUAGAGGGUGAGAAUCCCGUAUUUGACCAUUAUCUUCAGCUAUGUGAUACACUUUCAAAGAGUCGGAUUGUUUGGGAAUGCAGUCCAAAAUGGGUGGUAAAUUUCAUCUAAAGCUAAAUAUUGGCGAGAGACCGAUAGCGAACAAGUACCGUGAGGGAAAGAUGAAAAGAACUUUGAAAAGAGAGUUAAACAGUACGUGAAAUUGUCAAAAGGGAAGCGUUUGACACCAGUGUUGUUUCUCUGAAAAUCAAUUACAGGAAAGUUUAUGUUAAGUUGUUAAGACUUUAUCAGCUUACUGCUUAAUUUUGAGCUUUUCUUUAAUGCACUUUUCAGUUUACAAGUCAACAUCAAUUUCUUUUGUUGUAAAAAGGUAAGGGAAAGGUGGCUCAAGCUUCGGCUUAAGUGUUUAUAGUCCUUUGCUUCUGCAAUCGGAGAGAUUGAGGUCUGCAGCGUAGAUCCUUUUUUGGAUUAGAUACAUUUGUGCUAAGUUACAGCUCUUUAUAGACAACUUGUUGACUAUGAUCAGUCUUGUAGCUUACUCGCUUAUGCUAUUGACCUACGC
rnacentral:rRNA from 1 species